rnacentral:rRNA from 1 species
UACAGAGGUCUCAAGCGUUGUUCGGAUUCAUUGGGCGUAAAGGGUGUGUAGGUGGCGCGCUAAGUCGGGUGUGAAAUUUCGGAGCUUAACUCCGAAACUGCAUUCGAUACUGGCGUGCUUGAGGACUGGAGAGGAGACUGGAAUUACGGUGUAGCGGUGAAAUGCGUAGAUAUCGAUAAGGAAGACCAGUGGCGAAGGCGGGUCUCUGGACAGUUCCUGACGCUGAGGCACGAAGGUCAGGGAGCAAACGGG